rnacentral:rRNA from 1 species
UACGAAGGGGGGCUAGCGUUGCUCGGAAUUACUGGGCGUAAAGGGCGCGUAGGCGGUUCUAUAAGUCAGGCGUGAAAUUCCUGGGCUUAACCUGGGGGCUGCGCUUGAGACUGUGGGACUUGAGGUCAGAAGAGGGGUCGUGGAAUUCCCAGUGUAGAGGUGAAAUUCGUAGAUAUUGGGAAGAACACCGGUGGCGAAGGCGGCGACCUGGUCUGAUACUGACGCUGAGGCGCGACAGCGUGGGGAGCAAACAGG